GACGAACGCUGGCGGCGUGCUUAACACAUGCCAGUCGAACGGAAAGGCCCCUUUUGUUGUACGUGAGUGGCGAACGGGAGAGUAACACGUGAGUAACCUGCCCUUUACUUCGGUAUGACUUCAGGCAACUGGGGCUAAUACCGGGUAGUGAUCCUUGCUGCAUGGGUGGGGUUGGAAAGCUUCGGCGGUUUUGGAUGGACUCGCGGCUUAUCAGCUUGUUGGUGGGGUAGUGGCUUAAAAAUGCUUUGUCGGGUAGCCGGCCUGGGAGGGAGACCGGCCAAAUUGGGACUGAGAUACGGCCCAGACUCCUACGGGAGGCAGGAGUGGGGAAAAUUGCAAAAUGGGCGGAAGCCCGACGCAGCAACGCCGGGUGCGGGGUGAAGGGCGUAGGGUUGUAAACCGGUCUCAGCAGGGGCGCAGCUUGUGGUGACGGUACCUGCAGAAGAAGCAAAGGCUAACUACGUG
rnacentral:rRNA from 1 species